rnacentral:rRNA from 1 species
GACGAACGCUGGCGGUGUGCUUAACACAUGCAAGUGGUGCGACGAACCAGAGCUUGCUCUGGGGCAAAGCCGCGAACGGGUGAGUAACACGUGGGUAAUCUACCCCGAUGACCGGGACAACCCGAGGAAACUCGGGCUAAUACCGGAUGUGGUGCGGAGACAUAAGUCUCUUCACUAAAGGUAGCUUCGGCUUCCGCAUUGGGAGGGGCCCGCGGCCCAUUAGCUUGUUGGUGGGGUCAAGGCCUACCAAGGCAACGAUGGGUAGCUGGUCUGAGAGGACGAUCAGCCACACUGGGACUGAGACACGGCCCAGACUCCUACGGGAGGCAGCAGUGGGGAAUCUUGCGCAAAGCGCGAAAGCGUGACGCAGCAACACCGCGUGAGGGAAGAAGGCCUUAGGGUUGUAAACCUCUUUCAGAUGGGACGAAGGUGCUCCGGUGAAUAGCCGAGAGGAUUGACGGUACCGUCAGAAGAAGCUCCGGCUAACUACGUG